AUGGUUCGAUCUCAGCCAGGUGCUCUGAAGUACAAGAGCAAGCUCGGCUUUGAAGGCCUCCCAAACCAGGCCUGGACGACGGCGUCCGUGAAAGAUGUUCUCAAGCAGCUGGGUGGCGAGCUGAUCGAGAUCCUGCCGCCGGCAAGCCGCCGCGAGCUUGAGGUCAUGGCGUGGCUUCGUGACCCUUCCUUUGUUGGCAAGGUGGUGACAGUGGAGAUACCUGAGCCGAAGCUGACAAACAAGCCACCCGAGUCCAUGGAUGAGUAUGAAGCAAUGCAAUUCGAAUUGGGUGAAUACGGACCGUCGUCGCCGAGGAAGAAGAACAGCUUACUGUAUCCUGACAUUUGCCACAUGAAGGAGGUUGUUGAUCGUGGUCCUCUGCUUGUUGAAGGACUGCCUGAUGAGUGA
rnacentral:rRNA from 1 species